rnacentral:rRNA from 1 species
GGGGAGGCCCUAGCACAGGUGCUGCAUGGCCGUCGUCAGCUCGUGCCGUGAGGUGUUGGGUUAAGUCCCGCAACGAGCGCAACCCCCGCCGUUAGUUGCCAGCGGUUCGGCCGGGCACUCUAACGGGACUGCCCGCGAAAGCGGGAGGAAGGAGGGGACGACGUCUGGUCAGCAUGGCCCUUACGGCCUGGGCGACACACGUGCUACAAUGCCCACUACAAAGCGAUGCCACCCGGCAACGGGGAGCUAAUCGCAAAAAGGUGGGCCCAGUUCGGAUUGGGGUCUGCAACCCGACCCCAUGAAGCCGGAAUCGCUAGUAAUCGCGGAUCAGCACGCCGCGGUGAAUACGUUCCCGGGCCUU